UACGGAGGGUGCAAACGUUGCUCGGAAUCAUUGGGCGUAAAGCGCACGUAGGCGGACCGCUAAGUCGGAUGUGAAAGCCCUCGGCUUAACCGAGGAAGUGCAUUCGAAACUGACAGUCUUGAGUAUGGAAGAGGGUCGCGGAAUUCCCGGUGUAGAGGUGAAAUUCGUAGAUAUCGGGAGAACACCAGUGGCGAAGGCGGCGACCUGGCCAAUACUGACGCUGAGGUGCGAAAGCGUGGGGAGCAAACAGG
rnacentral:rRNA from 1 species